UACGAAGGGGGCGAGCGUUGUUCGGAAUCACUGGGCGUAAAGCGUGCGCAGGCGGUUUGUUAAGUCCGUUGUGAAAGCCCCGAGCUCAACUUGGGAAUUGCAGUGGAUACUGGCAGGCUGGAGUACGGUAGAGGAAGGUGGAAUUCCCGGUGUAGCAGUGAAAUGCGUAGAUAUCGGGAGGAACACCAGUGGCGAAGGCGGCCUUCUGGACCAGUACUGACGCUCAUGCACGAAAGCGUGGGGAGCAAACAGG
rnacentral:rRNA from 1 species